UUUGUUUUUUUUGUUUCUAAAGAGAAGGAUAAUUUUAGUUACAGCGAAUUAUUUGGGAUCGGGCCACGCCGCCUUGGUGAAUUUCUUGACGGCAAUCCACAGGGUUCGGUUGUUGGUGUCCAUUAGCUUCCCCUUGUACACGAAAUUGAUGGCGCCAUUCUCUGACAGGAAUCUUUUAGAGCUGAAGUUGUCGGUGGCCAUCUUCAAAACAGAAAAGGAAAACUCUGAGAAAGCUGCAUCCAAUACAUGAGCAUCAAUUAUGGGUGUUUCUUGUCCGGGCUUCUCGAUGGACGACGUGACCGUGGCUCCACUACGGUGUUGUAACCGUUUACUGCGUUUCGUGUAAGAAUAACAACAGCCCAUUUUUCUUUAGAUUCCUCUUCAACGACCAAGUACAAUACAAAAUACGAAUGUAACAAGGGUUUGUGAUUUGCUCAUUUGAACAGGAAACGAAAUCACAUUGAAAAAGUCAAACAAUCACGUGAAUGAAUGAAAUCAACAUAUAGAGUGACGGUCAAUCAAGUAAUCGAGUUUGUGGGCACAACUUUUUUUUUUUUAUGACAAAGACUAAUGAUUUAAUUAAAAUUAGUUUUAGCCAUUGAGAAAGCAACUGUAUUACUUUGUAAUUUAAGCUAUUUUUUUUAUAAUUUCU
rnacentral:lncRNA from 1 species